AGUGAACGCUGGCGGUAUGCCUAACACAUGCAAGUCGAACGGCAGCACAGUAAGAUCUUGCUCUUACGGGUGGCGAGUGGCGGACGGGUGAGGAAUGCAUCGGAAUCUACUUUUUCGGGGGGGAUAACGUAGGGAAACUUACGCUAAUACCGCAUACGCCCUACGGGUGAAAGCAGGGGAUCUUCGGACCUUGCGCGAUUGAAUGAGCCGAUGUCGGAUUAGCUAGUUGGGGGGGUAAAGGCCCACCAAGGCGACGAUCGGUAGCUGGUCUGAGUGGAUGAUCGGCCACACUGGAACUGGGACACGGUCCAUGCUCCUACGGGGGGGAGCAGUGGGGAAUAUUGGGCAAUGGGCGGAAGCCUGACACAGCCAUACCGAGUGGGUGACGAAGGCCUUCGGGUUGUAAAGCCCUUUUGUUGGGAAAGAAAAGCAGCAGGUUAAUACCCAGCUGUUCUGACGGUACCCAAAGAAUAAGCACCGGCUAACUUCGUG
rnacentral:rRNA from 1 species